UACGGAGGAUCCAAGCGUUAUCCGGAUUCAUUGGGUUUAAAGGGUGCGUAGGCGGACUUGUAAGUCAGUGGUGAAAUCCUGCAGCUUAACUGCAGAACUGCCAUUGAUACUGCCGGUCUUGAGUACAGUUGAUGUGGAUGGAAUGUGUCAUGUAGCGGUGAAAUGCAUAGAUAUGACACAGAACACCGAUCGCGAAGGCAGUUCACAAAACUGUUACUGACGCUGAGGCACGAAAGCGUGGGGAUCAAACAGG
rnacentral:misc_RNA from 1 species